rnacentral:ncRNA from 2 species
UUUAUAGUACCCGUCUUGAAACACGGAUUAGGGAGUUUAUCUGUAGUGCGAGUCUUUGCACGUUAACUGUAAAGGCGUAGAGAAAGCAACUGGCGUUUGCAUGGCUACUGAGCAUUACUGAUAGGACCCGAAAGGUGGUGAACUUUGCCUGCACAGGUUGAAGUCAGGGGAAACUCUGAUGGAGGACCGUACGGGUUAUUGAUGUGCAAAUCAUUUUUCUGAUGUAGGUAAAGGUGCGAAAGACUCAUCGAACCACCUAAUAGCUGGUUUCCUCCGAAGUUUCCCUCAGGAUAGCUGUAAUGCAUUUAGUUAAGGGGAGUAGAGAUAUGGGUAGAGGUGCAGGGAGCCUUCGGGUUCUCAACUUAUUUCCAAACUUCGAACCUCCUUGUUAGGCAUUUACCUAACUGGAAAUGCUUAAAUGAAUUAGCGUUACAAGUGGGCUCUGACCGGUAAGCGGUCAUGGCGAAAUGGGAUGAACCAUACGUCUGAAUAAGGUGCCGAAAUGUACUAUCACUGAUACCAUAAAGGGAGUCCAUGUAUUUAGACAGCAGGUCGGUGCCCCUAAAAGCAGGUAUCCGCUAAAGAGUGUGUUAAAACUCACCUGCCGAAUACUAGGGCCCCGAAAAUGAAUGGCGCAUAUAGUACUACCGAUCUCAGACAUCAGUUCUAUUGAACUGAGAGUAGGGGGAUGUGGACAUUUUUGUGAAGGUGCAAUGUGAGUUGGACUGGAAGAAUGUCUAUUACAGAUCCUAAUUGAAGUAGCGAUUAUCCAGGCUUGUAUCCUGGGGGCUGAUGAGGAGUAGGGUUUCUGGGACAACUUAAACAGAUCCAGAGUUAGUCGAUCCUAAUCUCAAUAAUGGGAGAAAGGGAGUACAGUUGAUAUUCUGUAACUGACAACAGUUCGCGGCAACGCAUACUAUUUUUCUCCGCCAAUCUUAUACCGUUGGUAGGGAUCUCUUUCCUACAUGACAGUACUAAUACCCAGGAAACUGGUCAUCAUGCGAACUG